UCGGGAGCCGUGUCAACCGGACGAGACAGGGAUGGCGAAUGCAGGGAUUUUUCCGGUUUCUCCCUGCAGCCGACGAAUUGGCAGGCGAGCGCCCCACCUGUCCGGCUC
rnacentral:sRNA from 1 species